AACAUGUCUUUAUGAGUAAGAUUUAAAGUCUAGCCUGCCCACUGAGUUUUAAAGGGCUGCGGUAAUUUGACCGUGCAAAGGUAGCAUAAUCAGUAGUCUUUUAAUUGAAGGCUGGAAUGAACGGCUGGAUGAAGGAUUAACUGUCUUCAAUACAAUUUAUAACUUGACUUUUAAGUGAAAAGGCUUAAAUUAUUUAAAGGGACGAUAAGACCCUAUAAAACUUGAUACGCCGUUAUGCUUAGCUUUAAAUUUUAAUCUAAAAUUGUAAGGAUGGCUGUGUGUUCUGUUGGGGAGACAUUGAUAUAAAUAGUAACUGUCUGAUUAAAAAAUAUAAUUAUAAUUAGUAUGUGAUCCUUCUUUGUGGAUUAUAAGAGUAAGUUACUUUAGGGAUAACAGCGUAAUUUUCUCUGAGAGUUCCUAUCGAAGGGAGUAGUUGCGACCUCGAUGUUGAAUUAAAAUUUCUUUUAGGUGUAGCCGCUUAAUAAGUAGGUCUGUUCGACCUUUAAAAUUUUACAUGAUUUGAGUUCAAACCGGUGUGAGCCA
rnacentral:rRNA from 1 species